AGAAAAAUGAUUAGUCAUAUAGAAAGUAAUUGACAUAUUGUGCAUCCUGCAAAUAAAUGUUACACGGCAGUUGGUAGCUUUACUUUGAAAUGUAAUCUAUCCAAGUUUCUGUGUAGCUAUAAAGAAAGUUUGACUACAAGAAUGAAUUCACAUCAGUUGGCUGUCCCUCUUUCACAUGGAAUUUAAUAAGGCUUCUUAGAGUUUUCUGUGCUUGAAAGAGAGGCAAAAAAACGAUCUAAAGGCCUUAAACAUGUAAGGAAGAAGGGUGAGGAGAUACUUACGAAGGACCAUUAAGGAAGCUGUAGCUGAACACUGGCCACGGAAAUUUUUGGCCUUAAUUGUGUACUUUCCACUGUCGCUGACUGAUGCAUUUCGGAUUUCAAGGGAGUAUACAUUUCUGGAGCGGCUUAUGCUGACAUUUGAAGAAAUAGAAAUCUAAGACAAAGGAAAAAGAAAAGAAAUGUUGAAGUUCUUCAGAUGUGGAAGACAUGGUGAGGAUUCCUUCAUCUCUGUGACUGGCUUGCUUGAUGGUUAGGGUCUGAUCGCUGCCUGAGACACCAUAUCGGUACUCCUCAGAGUUGAUGAUAGCCAAUGACUCUACUUCCUCCAUCACUGAUUGGCUCAUUCCAUUGUACUUCCAUGCUGUCCCUGGAGGACAGUGUGACAACUGGAGUGCCAGGAGGACCAGGAACUUUGAAUGGAUAUUGGGCUACAGUAGGCUCUGAAUUGAGGUGGCUGCCAUGAGAUAGUCAUGUGUUCAGGAGUAACAUCCAGAAUAUUAAUAGGACCUGUUGGUGGCCCAGGAACAUCAAGAACAGUAAGAUGUACGGCUACUGUUUUGCUACCGGCUGCAUUGGAAACUGUGAUUUGAUAUUCCCCAGUGUCUCUCCUUAAGCAGUUCUUAAUGAGAAUAGACGCCUUGAUGGCUCCUCUGGCAGUUCUUGAUGACCAUGGAUGAGCUAAUGGCUGUGGUCUCAAUGGUGGCUUCUUGAGAUUAUUUACAGCUGUGAUGGUAUAUAAGCCAGUGUCACUCCUGCGAGACUGCGGAAUAACUAAAGUGCAAGUAUCAUCUACCACCAGUUUGUUGACAUGGGUGUCAUAGAGAACAGGUUCUUUGUUAUCAGGCUUCUUUGGAGGAGCUUUAAACCAGGAGCAUGCAGAGAAAUUGCUUUAGCCUCUGAUAAAUAAAACAGACUGCGAGGAAAAUUACAGCGAGGAAAUUACAGACAUCAUCUCCUUUGAACAGGGAAAAGGUAACAGCCAGUAGCCAGUAAUUGGAGAGCCACCAUUGUCCAAAGGAGGAGUCCAGCUCACUAGCAUUGAUCCUUUGGUGCGUGCCAAAACUUUUGGUUUUCCUGGAGGUCCAGGAAGGCGAUAAGGAUCUUGAAUGACUACUUUAUCUGAUUUGCACUCAUCACUGAUUCCAUAUUUAUUCACUGCCCUGACUCGGAACUCAUACUGACCAUUGGGGAUAAGUUUCCAGAUCUAGAAAUUAGAAAAACAGAAAUUUAUUGAAGAGAAUAUACUUAUGUUGGUUUUCACUCAUUUAAAAAUUCAACUUAUUUUGGGAGGGAUGACUGUAAGAAGAAAUAAAUAUAUAGACUCAAAACAUGGGAAGACAGAGAAAAGGAGAAAGCUUUUUUUAAAAUAAAAAUAUGUAGAUGUAUUGUACCUGAUAGUGGAUCUCAAUUAAAAGAGUAUCUGUGUAUCAAAC
rnacentral:lncRNA from 1 species